CAGUUGCAACCCCUCCCAGCUUGGUAUCAUCCUCAAACUUGGCUACAGAAUAACGUCCACGUUUUGCUCCAGAUCCUCCCAUCCUCCCUGGGGGAAGGAAAUGGCUGCAAUGGAGCUGGCUCAGGGGCCGGUGACUUUUGAGGAGGUGGCUGUGCAUUUCAC